rnacentral:rRNA from 1 species
GGCUCAGAACGAACGCUGGCGGCGCGUUUAAGCAUGCAAGUCGAGCGGCAAGGGCCUUCGGGCCCCUAGAGCGGCGGACGGGUGAGUAACACGUGGACAAUCUGCCCCCCGGCCCGGGAUAGCCCAGGGAAACCUGGAUUAAUACCGGAUGAGACGGGACCCGCGAUGGCGGGAUCCGGGAAAGGCGCUGCGGCGCCGCCGGGGGAUGAGUCUGCGUCCCAUUAGCUAGACGGCGGGGUAACGGCCCACCGUGGCGACGAUGGGUAGCCGGCCUGAGAGGGUGGACGGCCACAUUGGAACUGAGACACGGUCCAGACUCCUACGGGAGGCAGCAGCUAAGAAUCUUCCGCAAUGGGCGAAAGCCUGACGGAAGCGACGCCGCGUGAACGAAGAAGGCCGUGAGGUUGUAAAGUUCUUUUCGGGAGGGGGAACAACCGUGGCAGGGAAUGGCCGCGGGAUGACGUGAAUCCCGGAAUAAGCCCCGGCUAACUACGUGCCAGCCGCGGC